ensembl:lncRNA
GAUCGUCUCCGUGUGAAGCUCCGUGUGAAGGUGAAGGUAGAAAGUGUGUGUGAGCUGAUUUGGAUUGAGCAGCAUGGAUCAGUGUGAGGACAGAGAGGAGGGAGCCCCUCCCUCUAAAAGAGCCAGAGAGAGCCAGACCAAAGCUCAGAGGAACCCACCUGGACCUCCACCCAGAGAGCAUGACAAGUCUAAAAGCCCUCCCAUAGAAGACCUGCCUGUGUCUGCUGCAGAGAGGACCCAUGGGACUCCAGCUGGACUUGAAGCUGGACCCAGCUGUGUGUCCUUCAAGAGUGACCGGUCUAGACGUCAGCCCAUUGAUUUUAAAGUCCAGCAGGUGUCUGCUGCAGAGAGGUUUGUGGUGGGAGUAAGAGGACUGGGUAGAUCUGGUGGACUCUGUACAUUUCCAUUUGUUUUCUGUUAAAAACACUAAAGUGGACCAGGAGAGCUCAGAGGUUCAACGUGGUCAGACUGCCCAU